CCUACGGGAGGCAGCAGUAGGGAAUAUUCGUCAAUGGGCGCAAGCCUGAACGAGCGAUGCCGCGUGAGUGAAGAAGGACUUCGGUUCGUAAAGCUCUGUUGAGGGGGAAAAAAGGCAGCAUCCGGAACUGGGUGCUGACUGAUGGUGCCCCGCCAGAAAGUCCCGGCAAACUACGUGGCAGCAGCCGCGGUGAUACGUAGGUGGCGAGCGUUAUCCGGAAUGAUUGGGCGUAAAGGGUGCGCAGGCGGUCCUGCAAGUCUGGAGUGAAACGCAUGAGCUAAACUCAUGCAUGGCUUUGGAAACUGGAGGACGGGAGAGCAGGAGAGGGCGGUGGAACUCCAUGUGUAGCGGUAAAAUGCGUAGAUAUAUGGAAGAACACCAGUGGCGAAGGCGGCCGCCUGGCCUGUUGCUGACGCUGAGGCACGAAAGCGUGGGGAGCAAAUAGGAUUAGAUACCCUUGUAGUC
rnacentral:rRNA from 1 species